GUCCCGGUAGCUCAGUCGGUAGAGCACCACCUCGACACGGUGGGGGUCCCAGGUUCAAGGCCUGGUCGGGGCA
rnacentral:tRNA from 1 species